rnacentral:rRNA from 1 species
AGUACCUGGAACCGUUCACGGGUAAACCUGAGAAACCCGAAAGUUCGAAUGAGAAGAUUCAGUAUCUUACCAUUUGGUCGACCAUUACAUUAUUAUGUGAUAAUUUUUAAUAUCUUGUAUAUUAAUAUUACACUAAUUUGUUUUGAGAUUUGGCUAUGGAGAUAUGCACUUCUUCUCUAGUAGGACGUUGCAACCCAUUGGAUGUUAAUCUAAGGUCCCUUAUGGUAGCCUAUUUUAUAUAUAUUUCGGUAUAUGUGAUUUAGACCUUAGGUGUUUUGCCUGAUUAACUUGUUCGAUGGUAUAUCUUAAUAAUAUGGGGUCGCCUAUAUGGCAUUUAACUUUUUUUCAAGUGUGUAUGGAUUAAAUUUUGGCUAUCAGACCUAGUCUGGUACCGAAACCAUUACCACUGUUUGAAAAUUAUGUUGUAAUUAAAUUGACCACCUUUUAUAUAGGUUAGCAACGCUUUUGCUUUGGGUACUUUCAGGACCCGUCUUGAAACCGG